rnacentral:rRNA from 1 species
CGCGUGGCUUAUCUGUCCCAGGGAGGGGGAUAACGUCUGGAAACGGGCGCUAAUACCCCAUAUACCGGUGAGGUAAAAAGGAGAAAUCCGCCCUGGGGUGAGGCCGCGUCCUAUCAGCUAGUUGGUGAGGUAACGGCCCACCAAGGCUAUGACGGGUAGCCGGCCUGAGAGGGCGGCUGGCCACACUGGGAUUGAGAUACGGCCCAGACUCCUACGGGAGGCAGCAGUGGGGAAUAUUGGGCAAUGGGGGAAACCCUGACCCAGCGACGCCGCGUGGAGGAAGGAGCCCUUCGGGGUGUAAACUCCUGUUGUAAGGGAAGAAGACAGUGACGGUACCUUACGAGGAAGCCCCGGCAAACUACGUGCCAGCAGCCGCGGUAACACGUAGGGGGCGAGCGUUGUCCGGAAUUACUGGGCGUAAAGCGCACGCAGGCGGAUGCGCGCGUCGGCUGUGAAAUGCACCGGCUCAACCGGUGCACUGCGGUCGAUACGGCGCGUCUGGAGUGCGGGAGAGGGAAGCGGAAUUCCCGGUGUAGCGGUGAAAUGCGUAGAUAUCGGGAGGAACGCCGGUGGCGAAGGCGGCUUCCUGGCCCGCAACUGACGCUCAUGUGCGAAAGCCAGGGGAGCGAACCGGAUUAGAUACCCGGGUAGUCCUGGCCGUAAACGAUGGACGCUAGGUGUGGGUGGUUUAUCCGUCUGUGCCGAAGUUAACGCGUUAAGCGUCCCGCCUGGGGAGUACGAUCGCAAGGUUGAAACUCAAAGGAAUUGACGGGGGCCCGCACAAGCGGUGGAGCGCGUGGUUAAUUCGAUGCAAACCGAAGAACCUUACCUGGGUUUGACAUGCAGGUGGUACGAGCCCGAAAGG